rnacentral:rRNA from 1 species
GACGAACGCUGGCGGCGUGCCUAACACAUGCAAGUGGAGCGACGAACCAGGGCUUGCCCUGGGGCUAAGCCGCGAACGGGUGAGUAACACGUGGGUUACCUGCCUCGAUGACCGGGACAACCCGAGGAAACUCGGGCUAAUACCGGAUGUGCCCGCAAGGGGAAAGGAAGCUUCGGCCUCCGCCUCGAGAUGGGCCCGCGGCCCAUUAGCUUGUUGGUGAGGUAACGGCUCACCAAGGCUGCGAUGGGUAGCUGGUCUGAGAGGACGAUAAGCCACACUGGGACUGAGACACGGCCCAGACUCCUACGGGAGGCAGCAGUGGGGAAUCUUGCGCAAUGCGCGAAAGCGUGACGCAGCAACGCCGCGUGGGGGAAGAAGGCUUUCGGGUUGUAAACCCCUUUCAGUUGGGACGAAGCUUCGCCGAUGAAUAGUCGGUCGGAGUGACGGUACCUUCACAAGAAGCACCGGCUAACUACGUGCCAGCCGCCGCCGUAA